CACUUUUAGGAGGGUUUGAAAGAGGCCAGUCCUGGGCUGCUGGGAAUGUCCCCCUCAUCCUGUGCAAAUAAGCAGCAGGGGAAAGAGGCACAAGGGCAUUUUGGGGAAUCCCAAGGCCUCCCUGAAGAAGUCUUUGAGGAUUGCAGAGGACUGGACCCAGCAGAAGGCGCGGAAGGGCAUGUGGGGUGUGCAGCUGGGAGGUUCUGGGCAUACAAGGAAGACUUCAGAGCGAUUCCUGCUUGAGUUGCUCACUGUGCAGUUGGGGAGACAACUGAGGGUAUGGAUCAUCACAGAAGUGGAGAGAGAUAAGGGCUUCCCUGCUUCUUGGCUGUGUGGCUUCAGGCAAGUAGCACUACCUCUCUGAGCCUCAGGUUCCUCAUCU
rnacentral:lncRNA from 1 species